CCUCCUCCCCCUCCCCCCCUCCGCUUCCUUCCUCACGCGCGGUGGUCUCGGGGUCUCCCAUGGCAGCACGUUAGCGCGUGCACAUCACAAAAACACAAACCAAAAUAUAAAUAAACAACCUCACUUGCUCCAUUCGUCCAGCUAGACAACGGUGAUGUGUAGGAAUAUCACCCAUGAUGACAUGAUCAAUUAAGGCUCCUUGUGUUUUUCUCUAAAUGGCUGUGUAGGCUACAGUCACACUCUGAUCUCUCCCUAGCCAUUGAGUUUUUUUUUUUUUUUAAUCUUUAUGCACCAUAUAUGCUUUAAACUGUGUGUUUAUUAAUCAACAUUGCGGUUACUUUCUUGGUAACAAUGGUGGUGAUAAAGGGCGGAUUUUCUGACCAUUUUACCUGACGUCACAUGAAGCCGAAAACGCCUAGAAUUAAGGAAAUUCGUGGAAAAAAAUGUUCCCGCGUGGCUCAACGCGCAUGCGCAGCACUCUCACAUAGGAAACACGGGGCCUUUGCGACACCUUUUCCUGCUCUUCAUGAUCCAGGCUCGACUUUGAUAGAAGGCCAAAUGCAUUGGUUUCAUUGGUGAUUUGUUGUUUGUUCUCCGCUGAUGCAAUUCCUGACUGGGGCCAACACCAUGGUUUGUCAUCUGCAUUUCAUUUUGACACAUGCUUUAAUAUAUAUAUAUAUAUAUAUAUAUAUAUAUAUAUAUAUAUAUAUAUAUAUAUAUAGGAUGAUUAAAUGUUAUACAGGCUGAAUCAGAAAAAUCAUCCUUACAAAUGAUGACAAAUGUAUGAUUCUGUAAAGUUUGUGAAACAUGCAGUCCAGUGAUGCAGGAGUGUAGAAAUAAAGGUGAAGUAGAAUACCCACAUGUUUACUGUAUCUUUCAUACAAAACAGGCUUGAUAUAAAUGUAUUGUAAUGUAUGGUGAUGUUGGUGGAAAAAAUAAAUAUGGCAGGAUGGAGUCUGUGCUGCAGUAGGUUUGAGGGUAGGUGGCAGGAAAGGGGGUGUGGUCACAAGUACAGGUUUAAGGCCCACUAGUAAUUUCUUUAAAAAAGUCAUAUUUUCUGUUUCUUGCACGUUUGAAAUUAUAAAAGCUGAGCCAUAUUUACUUUAAAAUGCUGUAAUGCAUUUACAAUAUGAAGUCCACCUUGCAGGCGAGACCCUAUCAAUAUUGCCUCUGCUUUUUCGACUGUAACUGUAGUAGUGCAAUAUUGCUUAUAGGGUCUUGACUUUAAGGCAUAUCUACAAUAGCAAGUGUUCCUCAUUUAACUGUUUUUAUGUGGUAUGGUAAAAAUGUAAGACGAUGCAGUGAUGGUAUGACUGAUGUAAUGAUCUGAUAUGAUAUAACCGAUGUAUGUUAUGCUGAGAAAUUCUUACAAGUCAUAAAUGAAGAAAAGUUCAUUUCAAUCUAUUUUGCAUUUCUUUAAGAAUGAUAUGGGUUUACAGAAAUGUGGUCCUAAGUUUCCUUAAAUAAGUGGAGAAAAAACAAUAUAACAAUAUAUUAAAUG